UUUAAAAGUCUGUGUAUUUCGAAAUAAAAAUACGGACUAGUUAAGGGUAAUGUGUUUCUACAUGCCAUUUUAUGUGAUAUAUAUUAUCAGAAGAGAGGAUAAAGCAACACAGAACUUACAAACUUCAAAAAGGGUGUCCUCAAAAGAUCUGUGUGGAUCCUGGAACAGAGAAUGGAAUCGUUGCAGCAUUUCGUUUAAUCCUGUUUAGAAGGAAAUGGCAAUUCAGUGACUUGGGGAAAAGCUGGAGCAAAUCAAGGUGCUUCACAAUACUUCUAUGCAGUUCAAUAAAAUACAGUGCCUAAUUUACAGAGACUUGUAUUUAAACAAUUUCCAAGAUAUUGAGGAAGAUUUUACAUGUGUGGCAACAUCUAUUUUGCAUCAGCAUGAUCUGCCUUUGCUUGACACCUUGAGAGACUGGACCUCUGCUCGUCAUCUCUGCAUAUAUCUGAGGGAGUGCAUGAUGCAUUUGCGUCGUGUCACUCGAUGCAAACUUCCGUUGCUUUCGAUAAGUAGGGGUAGGUAUCGAGGACAUUUCGGGUCACUGGAUCUUUAAUACGGCAUGUAGACAUAAACAGACGAUAGGGAGAAGUCGUUGGAUCUUUUUCCAACGUAGAUAUCGCCAGAAACCGGUAGGCGGAGAGUAGAAAUUGUUAAAAACAAGCCGUGAAUCGAGGGCCCCCCAGAAAUCCAAGAUGGCGAGUGUCGUCCCUUUACUUUUGUUGAAUGUACACAUGAUACACCUUGUUUAAAACCUCGAAAAAAGCGGAUUUUGGUGGUGGAUUUUAUUUAUAUAAUUUAUUAUUCGGACACAAAUCAUGCAAAACUUCAAUUUAUUAUUCGGGAACAAAUAAUACAAAACUUCAAUAUCUGACAACCGAGCCCCUGUGGUAAACAGCGGAUCUAAAUCAUCUAAUAUUCUUAAUUACAAUAAUAAUCAUACACUAAAAGAUAUGUGGUGCACUAAUAUAAAUGUCAAUCUUUUAAAAUAAUCGUACAAAUAAACCGAUGCUUUUACUUG